ACAACAAUAUACAGACCGUCGGUCUACCGAGCAAUAUCACGCGCUCGGUAGAAGAUCUUCCUUUCGUCGUUAAAC
rnacentral:pre_miRNA from 1 species